AUUGAACGCUGGCGGCAGGCCUAACACAUGCAAGUCGAGCGGAUGAAGGGAGCUUGCUCCUGGAUUCAGCGGCGGACGGGUGAGUAAUGCCUAGGAAUCUGCCUGGUAGUGGGGGAUAACGUCCGGAAACGGGCGCUAAUACCGCAUACGUCCUGAGGGAGAAAGUGGGGGAUCUUCGGACCUCACGCUAUCAGAUGAGCCUAGGUCGGAUUAGCUAGUUGGUGGGGUAAAGGCCUACCAAGGCGACGAUCCGUAACUGGUCUGAGAGGAUGAUCAGUCACACUGGAACUGAGACACGGUCCAGACUCCUACGGGAGGCAGCAGUGGGGAAUAUUGGACAAUAGGCGAAAGCAUGAUCCAGCCAUGCCGCGUGUGUGAAGAAGGUCUUCGGAUUGUAAAGCACUUUAAGUUGGGAGGAAGGGCAGUAAGUUAAUACCUUGCUGUUUUGACGUUACCAACAGAAUAAGCACCGGCUAACUUCGUG
rnacentral:rRNA from 1 species